UUGUGUUGGACGGACGCUGUGAGUGCCUGCCGGGUUGAGUCGUUUGGAUGCUGGAGUACACCACUGUUGACACAUUCUGAGAGCUGUGGAGAGAGAGAGAGAGAACAGUUCAAAGCCAAGUAAGGGUGACCAUUGGAGUUGAACGAACACAUUGACACCUUUGUUGUUGUUGUGUCUGCAUGAAGGACUGGGUGAGCCGCAUCGAAGACAUUGUUUACAUUGGAGUAUGCCCUGGAAAAGGAGGAAAUAAGAAGAGAGAGAUCAAUUAGAGACUUUCCAGCCGUGAGUAACAGCAAAUCAGUGGUGAAUGUUGAAUACUUACAUUGUUAAAGGAGAGUGUAACCUGUUUAUAAGCGGCCCAACCAGGUGUGUGUGGUAGGUGGGCAAGCCGAAAGACGUGCAUUGCGCCGACGCUGGACAGCCAGGGUUUUGAACCAGGUUGAGACACUGCACGACGUAGCGAAAUACGAUCCCACUCUCCUAUUCAGGCAUAGUCCCGCCAGGAGAGGAGUACGGACCCUAACCUAUUCACUGGAGUGUGUGCUGUGCAACGUGUGAGUGACCUAUUUGACGUGAAUACACAAAGCUUUUGUAGUGUUGUGCCGUGUCCUUGUUGUUUGUACUCACCUCAGGAGGGAUUGAACCCCUGUGGAUGCCAUCGGGAGCCGCUACGAGGGUGCAUGCCCAGCCAAACAAAUUACGCCCUGUAACUGUGUCCAGCAGGAGCUUGACGGAAACGCCAAGUAAGAUCUUCGCCUGCCUUAGGGAAGAGGACGUGCAGUCAUUGGCCGCCUGAAAUACAUUCAAUGGGACGUUGUUAUGUCAGCCCCAGCCGAGUGCCAGACAAGGCCCCCCCCCGCCUCCUGCUGCAUUAGAUGAUGAUGGUGACGAGCAACGAGGCGCGCCACGGGAAGCCUUUCCACGCAGGAGGUGGGCCAUGGACGAAGGAGCUCCUCCAGGCCCUUGCCCUGCUAUCCCCUGGUCCCACAGAGAAGACUUCUCCCCUCCAACGUCGAGAAGUGAUAUUUUAGAUUCCCUAUCCCCACUCCCCAUUAUGUUUUAACUAAUUUAAAUAAAGUUUACUGUUUUAUUAUACUUAUCUCUCGUUGUUUGGUCAUUGGGGUGCUUUUGGGACCUCCUCGAGGUGGAACUUGGGAAGGAGCGAGACGCACACAGUCUGUGGUCCGCUC